UGCACCUGAACGUCGCCCCCGAGGGCUCCGAUGUCGCUGCGCAUGCGUGAGCUGAGAGAAGGUGAGAAAGGAGAACAACUCUCCUUUGCCGGAUGUGACGUCACAUUAUUGUUUGUUUUUUGCUUUUUGAAAUAGCUACUCUCGAACUCAGACACUAUGGUUCGCGCCUCGUUCGCGCGCGCAUUGUGAGCAUUCAAGUUUCGUUUUUUGCACUUGCUUAGUAGCUGAAAUUGCGGACAUUGCAGGGUUGGGCUUGAUGACAUUUGUUGCUCAGCUGCCGCGACACAUUUGGAGCAAAGCUUCUGCUUAUUUCCUUUGGCCGCACCUUAUAUUUGUUGUCUUUGUCAACAUCUGACCUGUUUCUGCCUUGUUGAAAGCAAGUGGCCACAAGUACUGCUUAGUUUGCUCAGUCUAAACCUGGUAGUGCAUCCAGUUUAGCGCCGUGCACAUGUGUGGGGCAUUUCCUUGUUCUUAUUGUGCUGAUGUGCCGUGUUGUACAUAGGAGGAAAGCCGGUCCUCCACAAUAUGGUUGUCAGUGUUGCUGAAUACAACACAGUCUUGCUGCCUUGACACGCCACAUCAUUUGACAUCUUGGGGCCACUUCACAACUGCAAGCUGAAUCUGAUGUAGGCAGUGUCAGGGUCAUGGCCCAUAUUUUAGUGAACGCCAAGAAUGCGUCCUGUGACUGAAGUUUGAGCAUUUGAGCCCACCUUUUGGAAGUGCUUUUUAUGUGCACUCACUGCAGUCAGAUGUGCUGUAUAUUGGUGGGUGUCCGGAAUCUUGAGAUCCAGACAGGCUGCCACUGGAAGUCCCUUGGGUCAGGUGAUACCUCAAAUGCCUCCAAAUAUUUCACUGUAUAAACCUUUAUAGAAUGAAAAACUUGUCAAGAGCCAAGUUGUUACACACAAAAGAAAACUGUCACUAAAUAGUGACCAGUUUCAUUUCUUUUGUAAGCCACAGGUUGUGUGCAUUUGACAUUGCUGACCAACUCUUAUCUACUCUCUGAUACAAUAUCCAUACUCAUUGUAUAUAUAUUAAAUAAAAAUACAUAUAAGAUUGAUCUGGUCAGAAAGAAUUGCCAUUUUGGGAGGGGGUAGGCUGGAGGACAAUUUGUCAUUCCUUUCUCUUCUCUGUGAUCGAGCUGAUCAACUUCACUACAAUGGUAAACGUACUGCAGUUCCCUGCAUUCACAUAUGUUUUCAGAGAAAACUAUUGUGUGGAGCCAUGUUUGUGGUAAUGCAAUGCAAGAUAUAUGCUGUGUCGCGUGACUCUUUAGUAAUAUUGUUAAAUUCGAGUUGUGACCAAUCUUGCUGCUCUUUAUCUGGUUCCUGGUGAGUUCGUGGAAGUUCAGGUCACGUGAAGAUACUCGAUGAAGUUUCUCUGCGAAGUUCUUUUUAAAACUCUAGCAGCUGGCAUCAUAAAGUAAGUAUGUAAAUUGAGAGAAAAUGUACAUGAUACAGAAUAGUUCAUUUUCGCCUGCCCUCUUUGUUUUAUUUCUGGAUCUGCAAUGAACAGAUCCACAGCUUGCUCACAGGCAAGUAGGCAGUGGCUUUCUCAGCGAUGCUAAUAUCUCUAUUCUAGUGAAAGACAAUGUAAGCUACUGUUUUUGCAAGCAUUCCGCAAAUGCGGCUCGCCAUCAAGCACCAAACUUUUUAUGUCUAAAAAAAUAACUUGGAGAAGUAAAUGCCCAGUAUUCUUUUUUAGCUUUCAGUAAGCUUGCCAUAUAGCUCAGUGUUAACAUGCAGGUUAGGUUACAGAAAGCAAUAAUAAACGACAAUAAACACUGCUUGGAUGGCAAAAAACGUGAAUCAUAUCACUUUUUUUGGCAAUGACUUUUUGGGAAAUAGGAGGCUAAGCAAUUGGUGAUAUGGCUACACUGUAAAGAUUGGAUAAGAUGGAUGACUGAAUCUGCAACAGAACAUUUGUGGACAUUGUGUGAGCCACAUUUUCCAUGCUUUUUCGCCGACUAAGCGAGACUACAUGCAGUGAGGCAGCAUAGCUUACUUUUCUAUGCUUUUUUGCUGACUAAGCAAGACGACAUGCAGUGAGGCAGUAUAGGUUACUUUCCUGGUGCAUCAGCAUGGGCUUUCUACAGUUGACUUCCGUUAAUUCUACCCUGACGGCACCAACGAAAUUGAUCCAAUUAUCCGGUGGGUCGAAUUGAACAUUAAAAAAAAUGCUAAAACACCGCUGAUUCAUAUGGCAGUAUGUAAUUGACUUUAAGACGCCUCCGAGACAAACGUGCGCCAACUUUCUAUUUUUCCAAACUAUAAAACUGAAGUGCAAAUGACUUAAAACUUCAAACCCAAGUAUAAACCUAACGCAUACCUUAUUUUUGAGAAUGUAAGCUGAUUUUCUAAAGUCACCCUCGCUGCAACAAAGCCGUGUUAUGCAGUAAAGUGUAUGAAUGCUGCAAAUGCAGUUUUAGUUUCCCACUCGAGUGCACAGUGCAGGCAGUUUCCGGCUUAAUUUCCUUCGAAAACAAAAUGUGCCCUUUAGAACCAGGUCAAUACCAUAAUCGGACAUUGUGAGCUACCGUUAUGGCUUGAAAAUCUUGAAACAGACGCUGCCACUAAAAGGGGUCGUUAUUGGAGUCAGGUGCAUGCCUGUAGCUUGGUCAAGUUCGGAUUAUCUGGCGAAUGCCAAUUUUAGGAUCAAAAUAACAAAUGUUUAGGGCCGUAGAACUGCAUGGGAGCUGGCCAAGAUCUUUGGUCAGAGUCGAAUUAACCGAAAGAUUAACCGGAGUUGGAUUAACGGAAGUCUACUGUAUACACUUUUCUGUUCAACAAGGAGUUGCCAUUUUAAUAUUGCUACGGGGAGGCAAACACAACAGAAAAACGUAUUUACAGUAUAUUUACAAGGCGAUCAAGCGUCAACCAUAUGGCCGAGAGCACGCGCCAGAUCAUCAGCGUCUUCUUCAUCGAUGCUCCUCUAGAUGAAUCAUACCGUGACAUGACCCCCGGCUGCUCAAGCACCGUCACGGUGCUUGCUAUGAUCCAGGCGAGUGGUAAGGUUUAAGGCGGGAUACGUGAACGUCAGUAGGUGAUGAAACGGUUGGCGAGGAAGACUCUAGCGGGCCAAUCUCAUACGUGACGUCUGUUACACGGCGUAAGACACGGUAGGGUCCGGAGUACCGCGAAAGCAAUUUUUCUGAUAAUCCAACACGCCGAGUCGGGAGUCCAUAGAAGCACAAGGGCACCCGGAGUAUAGAUAACAUCACGAUGACGGGAGUCGUAGCGGUGCUUCUGGUGGCCUUGCGAUGUAGUAAGGCGACGGCGAGCAAUUUGGCGUGCCUCAUCAGCUCGGGAAAUGGCAUCACGAGCGUACUCAGUUGGCAAAUGGACGGCAUCGGGGAUGAUAGUGUCAAAAGGUAACGUUGGGUCACGGCCAAACAGAAGAUAGAAGGGUGAAAAACCAGCAGUAUCAUGACAGGAGGAAUUGUAAGCGAAUGUAACGAAGGGCAACGCAACAUCCCAGUCUUGAUGGUCAGAUGAGACAUACAUAGAAAGCAUGUCAGUAAGCGUCCGGUUGAAGCGCUCAGUCAAGCCGUUAGUUUGCGGGUGGUAAGCCGUCGUAAAUUUGUGUUUUGUCGCGCAGGAGCGAAGCAGGUCAUCGAUAACUCUGGAGAGGAAGUAACGGCCACGGUCAGUGAGGAGUUGACAAGGGGCUCCGUGAUGUAAGAUGACAUCGUGUAGCAGGAAAUCAGAGACGUCCGUAGCACAACUGGUAGGGAGAGCGCGUGUAAUUGCGUAGCGGGUGGAGUGGUCCGUAGCAACGGCAAUCCAUUUGUUUCCAGAAGUAGAGGUCGGGAAAGAACCGAGGAGGUCAAGGCCAGCUCGGAAGAAGGGGUCAGAUGGGACGUCAAGGGGCUGAAGGAGGCCAGCAGGAGGCUUAGGUGGUUUCUUUCGGCGUUGGCAGGGUUCACAAGCAGCUACGUAGCGACGAACGGAGCGGUAAAGACCGGGCCAAAAGAAGCGACGCCGAACGCGAUCGUAGGUCCGGGAAACUCCAAGGUGACCAGCGGUCGGGGCGUCAUGUAGCUGGCCGAGAACGCUCAAGCGCAGAUGCGUAGGAACGACGAGCAACAGUUCGCGUCCGUCCGGGUGGACGUUGUAGCGAUAUAACGUGUCAUCUUUAAGCACGAAGAGGCGAAGGGAAGGAUCGGGCGCUGCGGAAUCCAGCUUCUGAAUAAGCUCACUUAAAAUGGGAUCACGGCGCUGUUCAUCACGGAUGUGGCUUAAAGCAGAGAGAGUACACAUGCAGGCGUGUCAUUGGAGGCUUCAGGCGGAUCCACGGGAUUGCGGGACAAACAGUCAGCAUCCCGGUGCAAUCGGCCAGAUUUAUAAGAAAAAGAGUAAGUGUAUUCUUGGAGCCGGAGUGCCCAGCGACCAAGACGCCCAUUGGGAUCCUUAAGCGACGAAAGCCAGCAAAGUGCGUGGUGAUCGGUAGUGACAGUGAAAUGCUGGCCAUGUAAAUAGGGGCGGAAUUUGCCCACCGCCCAAAUGAGAGCAAGACACUCCCGUUCUGUAAUAGAGUAGUUCUGUUCGGCUAAGGAAAGGAGACGGCUAGCAUAGGCGACAACACGGGCAUGCCCAUUCUGAUGCUGGACUAAAACAGCGCCGAUUCCGUAGCCGCUGGCAUCGGUGCGGAGUUCUGUUGGAGCGGAGCUGUCGAAAUGAGCCAGGACUGGUGGUGUAGUGAGCGACGUGAUGAGGGUAGAGAAGGCGGCAGCCUGUGCAGCACCCCAAAAAAACAUGACGCCUUUCUUCAGUAAGUUUGUGAGAGGGCGUGCAAUUUCCGCGAAAUUCUUCACAAAACGACGGAAGUAGGAGCACAGUCCCAGAAAGCUACGAACUUCCUUUGUGCAAGUCGGAACGGGGAACUGCUGCACAGCUCGAACUUUGUCAGGGUCGGGGCGAACACCGGUUGAGUCGACGAGAUGACCGAGCAUGAUAAGUUGCUGACGUCCGAAGUGGCACUUAGAUGAAUUAAGUUGCAGGCCGGCUUUGCGAAAAACAGAAAGGAUAGAAGAAAGUCGGUCGAGAUGCGUUUCAAAGUUCGGUGAAAAUACAAUGACGUCAUCAAGAUAACACAGGCAAAUGGACCAUUUAAAACCGUGGGUGUCGAUCAUGCGUUCGAAGGUGGCCGGGGCGUUGCAUAAGCCGAAAGGCAUGACUUUAAACUGAUAAAGGCCGUCAGGGGUAACAAAAGCGGUCUUCUCACGGUCCAUGUCAUCAACGGCGAUCUGCCAGUACCCUGACCGAAGGUCGAUUGAAGAAAAAUACUUGGCGCCGUGAAGGCAAUCCAGGGCGUCGUCUAUGCGUGGGAGCGGGUACACGUCUUUUUUGGUGAUCUUGUUGAGAUGUCGGUAGUCCACGCAAAAUCGCCAACUGUCAUCUUUCUUUUUAACAAGAACCACAGGAGAAGCCCAAGGGCUGCAGGACGGCUCGAUUAUAUCUUUGGCAAGCAUCUUGUCGACCUCCUUUUGAAUGAUGCGGCGCUCAGCUCGAGAGACGCGGUAUGGCCGUCGGUGGAUCGGAUGGGCAUCGCCAGUGUUUAUGCGGUGUUUGACAGCGCAGGUUUGACCCAGAGGACGGUCGCAAAGGUCAAAGACGUCCCUAUAAGAGAAGAGGAGUCGAAGGAGAUCGUCAGCGUGAUGGGGCGAAAGGUCUGGAGCAAUCAUUUUCUUCAGGUCGGGAGGAGACAGACCUGGCGAAGAAGACGGGAUAUCGGUGGUGUGCGAGCGACCAGCAUCCGGAGGAGACAAGGUCGAGAUAACGUAAUCGUAGGAGGGCGUCAGCAUAGCGAGUGAAAUGCCUUGUGGGAGCACUUGUGAACACAGUCCGAAAUUAAUCACAGGAAGACAAGUAAGAUUGUCCCUUAUAGUUAUAACAGUGUGAGGCAAACCAACACUGUGCGUCAACAGAACGGCGGUGAUGGGAGCGAGCACAUAAUCGCCGUCGGGGACUGGUGGAGAGGGCGUCACAGCAACACAAGUCACGGCUUGCGGCGGCAAACGGACGUGCUCAGCAGAACAGAGCCGACUCUUGAUUGGUCUGGGUUGAUCAAUUACACUUGAUAGGUCAAGCUGUACAGUACCAGCGGAACAAUCGAUGAGGGCGGAGUGGGCGGACAAAAAGUCAAGACCGAGGAUGACGUCAUUGGAACAGCAGACGAGGACGGUGAACAAAACAGAAGUUUGACGGCCGGCUACACUGACAUGUGCGGUACAAAGGCCAGCUACGGGAGACGUACCACCGUCGGCCACUUGGACAACACGUGAUGGGGCAGGGGUCAUAACUUUUUUCAACUGCCGGCGGAGGUGAGAACUCAUAACAGAAAUAUGGGCGCCGGUGUCAAUCAAAGCAGUAACAGGUAGGCCAUCCACUUCAACGUCAAUCAAGUUCUGAUUGGUAGGGAGCGUCAACAGAGGAAUUGGAGAGCAGGUCGGAAUAGCAGCAUCACCUCCAGGAGCUGCAGCCGUUAGUUUCCCGAAGGAAAACGCCGGGAGUAAGACGGGGACGGGGAACGGCGUGGUGGGGGUGACCGAGAAGGUCGGCGUCGUGGGGAGGGCGAGCGGCUGUAAUGGGCGGUGGUAGUAGUGGUCUCGGCAGAUGUUUCUUGGUCAGGUUGGCUUGGUACCUGGUGCUGGCUUCGGGGUGGAUAGCGGAAGCUGGAUGAGCUGGGUCGAGAAGACGAGGGCCAAGGACUUUGGCAAUAUCGUGAAAUGUGUCCAACACGUCCACAUCGAAAGCAAAUUGACUUGUCGUCAGGCGUCCGCCACGCAUUUGGAUCGCGAUAAUUUGGAGUGGGGUAACGGCGUUGGAGAGGGUUAAAGGUGGCCGAAGGGUAACUGUCAGGGUGGUUCACAGAGCAGAUGGUUUGAAGGCCCACGUUUGCCAGUUCUUGACGAACAACGAAUUGUAUAAGGGAUAUCGUAGGUGGGGCAUCACAGGGCUCUCCUCGCAUUAAAUGUGCGGGCGAGGCGAUGCGGCUUCAAUUUCGCGUCGAACAAUUCGGGUGAUGGUCUCCGAUGUUGAAGGCUGAGUCGGCAUAUGAACAUCCUCACACGUUGAUGUCGCUGCCGUGUUCGGAAGGCGGGCGAAUUGGUGGGCGAUACGUCGGCUUUUAGCAUCUUCGAAGCGUCGGCAUUCAGUAAUAAUCUCGUUGACUGUCGAAGAGUUUUUAAACACGAUCAGGUUAAACGCAUCGUCCGCGAUCCCUUUCAGCAGGUGCGCAACCUUAUCGGCAUCUGUCAUCUUGGCGUCAACCUUCCGGCAAAGGGUCAGCACAUCCUGAAUGUACGUCAAGUACGACUCAGUAGGCGUCAGCACACGCGAGGCAAGUUCUUGCUUGGCAGCACGCUGGCAGCCUGCAGGUUGGCCAAACAACUUGCGAAGUUUAGUCUUACAUACGCUCCAGCUUGUGAGCUCCUCUUCGUUGUUAUCGAACCAGGCCUUCGCCGUUCCCUUUAGAUAAAAUAUGACAUUCGCCAACAUCAUGGUCGGGUCCCACCUGUAAUGUGCGCUUACGCAUUCGUAGAGUCGAAUCCAUUUGUCGACGUCGUCGCCAGCAGUGCCGGAAAAGGUCCCAGGGUCACGGGGUGGAGCCAGGACGACUGUUGGCAUGGCGGCCGCCGCUGACGCAGUUUCACCGCUGGUGGACAUGACUAGAGUGGCGACUUGGCGGCCGCUGCGAAGCUCCGUCUUGCGUUAUACCCCCAGCACUUCCACCAAGAUGUUACGGGGAGGCAAACACAACAGGAAAACGUAUUUACAGUAUAUUUACAAGGCGAUCAAGCGUCAACCAUAUAGUCGAGAGCAUGCGCCAGAUCAUCAGCGUCUUCUUCAUCGAUGCUCCUCUAGAUGAAUCAUACCGUGACAAUAUGUAGUUUUCUUCUAUCAGUGUGGUAAUCGUGCUAAAUUUAGCAUUUAAGUUAAAAGGACAAGUUACAAAGCAGGGGCACGCUUUGAGACUUGAAACAUUUGAACAUAUAAAGGUAGUACACAUUAACAGCUGCUGAAUUAACCUAAGUUGGUUGUAUUAUGUGCAUAGCAUGUGGUUGCUUUUUGGGAAUGUGGUCAUUCUGUAAAAUAAAACUGCAU